GCCAAGCAUGUUUCAGGUACUGCCGUAUUAGGGUGAAACCGGAAAUGGGUCAUUAAAUCAUUUAUGGUUCCUUAGAUCGUACCCACAUUUACUUGGAUAACUGUGGUAAUUCUAGAGCUAAAACAUGCAAACCCGAGUUCCGACCAGAGAUGGAAGGAACGCUUUUAUUAUAUCAAAACCAAUCGGUGGCGGGUUCGCGCCCGUCCAUCCUUCCUUUUGGUGACUCUGAAUAAUUUUGUGUUGAUCGCUCGGUCUGUUUCCGGCGACGCAUCUUUCAAAUGUAUGCCUUAUCAACUGUCUAUGGUAGGUUCUGCGCCUACCAUGCUUGUAACGGGUAACGGAGAAUCAGGGUUAGAUUCCGGAGAGGGAGCCUGAAAAACAGCUACCACAUCCAAGGAAGGCAGCAGGCGCGCAAAUUACCCACUCCCGCCACGGGGAGGUAGUGACGAAAAAUAACGAUACGGGACUCAUCCGAGGCCCCGUACUCGGAAUGAGUACACUUUAAAUCCUUUAACGAGGAUCCAUUGGAGGGCAAGUCUGGUGCCAGCACCCGCGGUAAUUCCAGCUCCAAUAGCGUAUAUUAAAGUUGUUGCGGUCAAAAAGCUCGUAGUUGAAUCUGUGUGUCACGAUGUCGGUUCACCCCUCGCGGUGUUUAACUGGCAUGCCGUGAGACGUCCUACCGGUGGGCUUAUCUCUUCGCGGGGCGGUCCAACUAAUAUCCCAUCCCGGUGCUCUUCAUCGAAUGUCGAGGUGGGCCGGUACGUUUACUUUGAACAAAUUAGAGUGCUUAAAGCAGGCUAUCCUCGCCUGAAUACUGUGUGCAUGGAAUAAUGGAAUAGGGCCUCGGUUCUAUUUUGUUGGUUUUCGGAACCCCGAGGUAAUGAUUAAUAGGGACGGAUGGGGGCAUUCGUAUUGCGACG
rnacentral:rRNA from 1 species